CUUUCCCUUUUUUCCCUAACCAAACCAAAAAAUAAAAUAAAAAUAAAAGCAAAAUAAACUAGAUUCUGAUCUCACUGACAAGAUCAACCAACAAUCCAACAUCAUGGAAUUCUCAGUGUUCCAUUAUCAGCACCAUCCUAUGAUUCUUCAUUGCCCUCUUACCUCCAUUCUCUUGACAAGGACACAAAAAAGACUUACCGACAAAAGUUCAUAUAGGUUACCAUGCAAAUGCUCAUAUUCAUCCACAAAUAAAACUGCUACAGAAGCAGUUACAAUGUCUUCACAUAUUGAAGGAAGGAGAGCAUUGCUCAGUUGUCUCCUCACAACUGUUGCUGGAGUCUAUACAUGUGAUGUGGCUGAAGCUGUUAGCACAAGUAGAAGAGCUCUACGAGGAGCCAAAAUUCCUGAAAGUGAUUUUACAACCUUACCCAAUGGUCUGAAGUACUAUGAUUUGAAGGUUGGGGAUGGAGCAGAGGCUGUAAAAGGCUCUCGUGUUGCAAUUCACUAUGUUGCUAAAUGGAAGGGUAUCACCUUUAUGACUAGUAGACAAGGAAUGGGCGUUGGAGGAGGAACGCCUUAUGGAUUUGAUGUGGGCCAAUCUGAGAGGGGAACGGUCCUUAAAGGCUUGGAUUUAGGAGUACAGGGCAUGCGGGUUGGCGGCCAGUUUUCUGCAGCGACUGUUAAUUGUUCCUCCUGAACUUGCCUAUGGAAGCAAGGGUAUCCAAGAAAUCCCUCCGAAUGCAACCAUAGAGAUCCCUUAGGUUAAAUUAUCAUUUCUACGUUAGCAAGAUUAAAUUCUUGUUCCUCUUUAGAGACCAAAGAGAUUGAGGAUCAGUCAGUUCAAUUGAAGGCUGGAUUCACAUUGGCUGAUUCUAAUACUAUAGCCCAAGUAUUUAAUUGUGAAAAGGAUUCACCCUCAUAGGAGAACUAAUCAAGUAGGAGUAGACUACAACUCUGCAACUAUAGCAUGAUCGUGAUCCUAUAGUAUUACUGAUUCUUUUCAAUCUUCUGCUUUCUUUUUUUUUUACCAGAAAACAAGGACUUAUUUUUCUGCCUUCCUUUUUGUAUCACACAUUCCCAGACCCUAUAGCUCCAAAAUAUAAAGCCAUGCACAUGUCAUUCCUAUGGUUGUGGGUUAGCACGUUGAAUGGAAUUUUUCCCCUACUUGUUUACCCCUCUCAUUGCAAUAAUAUGUUAACGAGAAACAAUGUGAUCCUUGCUAGAUGAGCAAUGAAUGUGACUUGCCAAAUGUUGCAAAUUCCAGAGGAUGCUACCCUAAUAGAUAGUGGAGAGAAAUAGAGGCCAUGGUCUGAAAUUUCAUAUGGGAUUUUAAGGUUGAAAAAUGCUUCUUUUACAUUUCAUAGGUCAAAAAAUUUGUGAAGAUCCAAAGUUAGUUUGGAUGGUAGAAGACUGAUUCCAACCUAUUAACUCAGAAGUGUAAUUCUGUCUUCAUACUGGUUUAACUGGAACUUUCUCAUGAUGAAACAAUGUAAUCAAAAUCUAAUCAAUUUGGUUGAUAAGGUGGUAUUUCUCAGUAAAAAUACAAGUUCUUGAACCCCUAAGCUUGCUGAAAACCUCUUGUUCUGUCUAACGGAAAUUCAUUGGCACACAACUAAUUUCUUUAGUUAAAAGACGUUAAGUGUGUGAAGCGACCACUUUCACUUGGAAACUAGAUCUAGGUGGAACGGCCAAACCAUUCCAUCUUGUUAAGUCACUCAUGUAACAACUCCAUUAACAUGAAAAGAAAAAGAUCAUCCUUAAUUGUUUAUAAGGAAUGCUUCGCAGUUUCACUACAUUUAUCAUUACGGCUAUCUAUAUAUUGCUGCAACUUUUUUAUUAUGCUGUGCUCUUAAAGUGGAUUUUCUUUUCAAUAUGCAAUUGUACUGUUUGCUACUUUCGAAAUGCAGUUGGAUAUUGAGCUGCUCGCUAUCAAACAAAGCCCAUUUGGGACUGGCGUAAAGAUUGUUGAGGGUUAAUGCAAUGAUUUAAUAUUCAGAGUGAUACUUUGGCAUUUUAUGAGAAGGACAAGUGUCCUCCCACCCAGGCAGCCCAUAUUUUUUCCUUGAUUUCAAUGAACCCAGAAUUUAACCUGUUCCUGGAGUGGCUAAGAAACAGCCAAAAAAAUGAAACUUUAUUAAAAAAAACUUGAUUCUGCAUUAAUUCAGGACUUACGUUGCUAGGUGCAAAAGUUCAUCGGAUGUGAUAAAAUGGAAACAAAAAAU